UUAGAAGUGGGAGCAACAUGCCAAUCACUUUUACUGCUGAGUCCAAUUACGAGCUCGUUGAAGUGCAAAAGGCUCUGCUUCUUGAGGUUGAGGCAUACCUGGGUGUAACUCAGUUCUAGCCUUGAUGAAAGAACCAUGAUCAUAUCUCAAACAGAACCCAUUAAUGCCAAAUGCAUUUUGAUCUUUGAAUAUGCCAGCAUCAAGGUUACAUUUUAUGGAGCCCGAUAAUGGAGGAGACCACGAUAUGGUUGAUGGUGUUGAGUAAGAAACACGAGUAGAAGUGGGAGCACGUGCAGACAACCAUUCAGAGAAGGCAAACCAAGAUGAUUGAGAAGGUCGAAAGAAGAUCCUUAAAACCUUCCGCAGAACCAGCCUUUGGAUGAAUGAGAUGCCAAAGCCCAGCAGCUUGCCACACUUCUUUAGCUUUAUCACAAGCAAAAAAUAUAUGCCACUCGUUUUCAUAAGAUUGCGAACAGAAAUAACAGUGUAAAGGGCACUCCACUCCCUUCGUGAUUAGCCUUGCACGAGUGGGUAAACAUUGACGAAGGACUCGCCAUAGAAAAUGGUUGAUCUUGGGCGAAAUGAUAUUGUAAAAAGUAAUCAUGUUCUAUUUUA